AUGAGCCUGUUUUGUGUGCAGCACGGCUAUCCCAAUGGUGUAGCUGUCGUUGUACAGAGUUGUAAUUCCUUGUCGAAAACCUUUCCAAUUCAGUGGUGUCAGCUAUGGCCUGGAGAGAGGUGUUUAGACUCCCUAAGAUGGUAUAUGUCGCUGAGGAGACGUGAUCUCCGAGCAACCCUUCUCAUAGCUCGCAGUCCAGGUCGAUGCCAAAUUCAACUUCCAGGAGGAUUUUUGUGCUGUGGCUGCAAGUUUGUGUUAUCGCGGGGAAAUAUCUUUUGUUUGUUUCUUAUAUUGUUGAUGUGGGUGAGUUGA
rnacentral:rRNA from 1 species